rnacentral:rRNA from 1 species
GAUGAACGCUGGCGGCGUGCCUAAUACAUGCAAGUCGAGCGGAAAGGCCCUUCGGGGUACUCGAGCGGCGGACGGCUGAGUAACGCGUAGGAACGUACCCCAAAGUGAGGGAUAACUGCUCGAAAGAGUAGCUAAUACCGCAUGUGCUCUUCGGAGCAAAGCUUCGGCGCUUUGGGAACGGCCUGCGUCCUAUUAGCUAGUUGGUGAGGUAAUUGCUCACCAAGGCGACGAUAGGUAGCUGGUCUGAGAGGAUGAUCAGCCAGACUGGGACUGAGGCACGGCCCAGACUCCUACGGGAGGCAGCAGUAGGGAAUUUUCCACAAUGGGCGAAAGCCUGAUGGAGCAACGCCGCGUGCAGGAUGAAUGCCUUCGGGUUGUAAACUGCUUUUAUAGGUGAAGAAUAUGACGGUAACCUAUGAAUAAGGAUCGGCUAACUCCGUGCCAGCCGCCGCGGUAA